AGUGAACGCUGGCGGUAGGCCUAACACAUGCAAGUCGAACGGCAGCACAGUAAGAGCUUGCUCUUACGGGUGGCGAGUGGCGGACGGGUGAGGAAUACAUCGGAAUCUACUUUUUCGUGGGGGAUAACGUAGGGAAACUUACGCUAAUACCGCAUACGACCUACGGGUGAAAGCAGGGGAUCUUCGGACCUUGCGCGAUUGAAUGAGCCGAUGUCGGAUUAGCUAGUUGGCGGGGUAAAGGCCCACCAAGGCGACGAUCCGUAGCUGGUCUGAGAGGAUGAUCAGCUACACUGGAACUGAGACACGGUCCAGACUCCUACGGGAGGCAGCAGUGGGGAAUAUUGGACAAUGGGCGCAAGCCUGAUCCAGCCAUACCGCGUGGGUGAAGAAGGCCUUCGGGUUGUAAAGCCCCUUUGUUGGGAAAGAAAAGCAGCAGGUUAAUACCCCGCUGUUCUGACGGUACCCAAAGAAUAAGCACCGGCUAACUUCGUG
rnacentral:rRNA from 1 species